GACGAACGCUGGCGGCGUGCUUAACACAUGCAAGUCGAACGGAAAGGCCCUGCUUUUGUGGGGUGCUCGAGUGGCGAACGGGUGAGUAACACGUGAGUAACCUGCCCUUGACUUUGGGAUAACUUCAGGUAACUGGGGCUAAUAUCGGAUAGGAGAUCACGUUGCAUGGUGGGGGUUGGAAAGUUUCGGCGGUUGGGGAUGGAUGCGCGGCUUAUCAGCUUGUUGGUGGGGUAGGGGCUUACCAAGGCAUUGACUGGUAGCCGGCCUGGGAGGGUGACCGGCCACAUUGGGACUGAGAGACGGCCCAGACUCCAACGGGGGGCAGCAGGGGCGAAUAUUGCACAAUGGGCGGGAGCCUGAUACAGCGACGCCGCGUUCGUGAUGACGGCCUUCGGGUUGUAAACCGCUGUCGCCUAUGACGAAGCGUGAGUGACGGUAAUGGGUAAAGAAGCACCGGCUAACUACGUG
rnacentral:rRNA from 1 species